AGUUUGAUCCUGGCUCAGGAUGAACGCUAGCUACAGGCUUAACACAUGCAAGUCGAGGGGCAGCAUUGGGGUAGCAAUACUUCAGAUGGCGACCGGCGCACGGGUGAGUUACACGUAUCCAACCUGCCGCUUACUCGGGGAUAGCCUUUCGAAAGAAAGAUUAAUACCCGAUGGUAUAAAGAGUUCGCAUGUUCUCUUUAUUAAAGAAUUUCGGUAAGCGAUGGGGAUGCGUUCCAUUAGAUUGUUGGCGGGGUAACGGCCCACCAAGUCUACGAUGGAUAGGGGUUCUGAGAGGAAGGUCCCCCACAUUGGAACUGAGACACGGUCCAAAUCCUACGGGAGGCAGCAGUGAGGAAUAUUGGUCAAUGGACGAGAGUCUGAACCAGCCAAGUAGCGUGAAGGAUGACCGCCCUAUGGGUUGUAAACUUCUUUUAUAAGGGAAUAAAGUGAGGGACGUGUCCCUUUUUGUAUGUACCUUAUGAAUAAGGAUCGGCUAACUCCGUGCCAGCAGCCGCGGUAAUACGGAGGAUCCAAGCGUUAUCCGGAUUUAUUGGGUUUAAAGGGAGCGUAGGUUGACAUAUAAGUCAGCUGUGAAAGUUUACGGCUCAACCGUGAAAUUGCAGUUGAUACUGUAUGUCUUGAGUGUACAAGAGGUGGGCGGAAUUCGUGGUGUAGCGGUGAAAUGCUUAGAUAUCACGAAGAACUCCAAUUGCGAAGGCAGCUCACUGGGGUACAACUGACACUGAGGCUCGAAAGUGUGGGUAUCAAACAGGAUUAGAUACCCUGGUAGUCCACACAGUAAACGAUGAAUACUCGCUGUUUGCGAUAUACAGUAAGCGGCCAAGCGAAAGCAUUAAGUAUUCCACCUGGGGAGUACGCCGGCAACGGUGAAACUCAAAGGAAUUGACGGGGGCCCGCACAAGCGGAGGAACAUGUGGUUUAAUUCGAUGAUACGCGAGGAACCUUACCCGGGCUUGAAUUGCAGAGGAACAUAGUUGAAAGAUUAUGGCCGCAAGGUCUCUGUGAAGGUGCUGCAUGGUUGUCGUCAGCUCGUGCCGUGAGGUGUCGGCUUAAGUGCCAUAACGAGCGCAACCCUUAUCAUUAGUUACUAACAGGUCAUGCUGAGGACUCUAGUGAGACUGCCGUCGUAAGAUGUGANGAA
rnacentral:rRNA from 1 species